CAGCCGCCGCGGUAAUACGUAGGGUGCGAGCGUUAAUCGGAAUUACUGGGCGUAAAGCGUGCGCAGGCGGUUGUGUAAGACAGGUGUGAAAUCCCCGGGCUUAACCUGGGAACUGCGCUUGUGACUGCACAGCUAGAGUAUGGCAGAGGGGGGUGGAAUUCCACGUGUAGCAGUGAAAUGCGUAGAGAUGUGGAGGAACACCGAUGGCGAAGGCAGCCCCCUGGGCCAAUACUGACGCCCAUGCACGAAAGCGUGGGGAGCAAACAGGAUUAGAUACCCGCGUAGUCCCUGUCUCUUAUAC
rnacentral:rRNA from 1 species